CCAACGUUCCAGAGAUCGCAGCGGCUACGGCAACUGCGAGAGACGACGGCGACGCUUUAUCCACCAUAAUAACAAAUCCUCUCCAGGACCAACAGGUGAAUUGUGUGAACGGUGGGACGAGCCUAGGGUUGGUAGGAAGUCGCCGGCUCCACGAUUUGUGUCUCUGCACGCCCAACAUUCUCAAUCGAGCGAAAAUCAAGCGAUAUGAGCGAUUCGCCCGCAACAUCUGAAAUCGAGAUACCCGGGAGCCAAUGCAGGGCUGGGAGUCAUUCAAGAGGACCCUCAACGCCACCGAAUACUCCGCUAUCCACCUCUCUGAACCCGAACCUCAUUUCCAAAUCCUGGUUCACGGAGCAAUUCCAUCGGCAGAUGAUGAUCCACACGAAGCCCGGUCUCGAUGAUACCAACGAGACUGCCCAAUCGAGCGAUAAGAGUGAGAGCGUGGAUGGAACGACUUGAAGAGGGAAGAAUCAUCAAACAGUACUAGGAUCUUCCAAUUCCUCGCCUUGCAAAGUCGAACAGGCUCGAUUGUCAGACUUGAAGACGCCGAACACAGAUUCCGAUCGAGCAAUACGGAGAUGAGCGUUAGAAAAUUCUCUGGUUUCGCGCUGCUCCGAUUCUCAGGAGCUCUGAGCUCCUAUGAAGGGCUCAGGGCUCCCUUGAGGACUGAGAUCGCUUUCAGUGUCCAUUUGAAGAUACAUAUGUAAAUACGUUUCGCACGAACCUCGGGAUGAAGAUCGAAACUAAUUCUCGUCUUGGGAUAGGAAGCGGUUCUGUGCCAAUGUUCAGGAGUCAGUGCUGUGGACGUCGAGGUUAGAUGGAGGAUUCAACGACAUUCAGAGUCGCUCCUGAUAGAAAUAUACAUAAAACAUAAUAUA